CAUCAGUCAGGAGCAUGAAGUUUGACCAGGUUACCCUGCAGCCCAGGCAGCGAGACACCUCACCUGUCUCCUCCUGUUGGGUGAGCUCCUGAGACACAGUUCAAAAUAGUAUCCUGAAGACGAGAGGAGACAGAUCCACGCUGGGCAGGUGCACAGUCACGCCACGGCAGUUUUCCUAGAAGAGUGAAGACGGCAACACUUCCUCCCUUUUCAGCAGAACAUCUUUGAGUCCAGUGGCUUACAUUUGUGAGAAAGAAGAGCCCAGUGUGAAGAGGCCUAUGGUGUGGCUGGGAAGCAAGAAGAGAGAACAGGAUGCCCCAGGAGACUUUCAGUGGCGCCAUCCUGUGGCAGUGUUCAUGGAACAGUGUUCAUGGGACCAACUGAGGCAUCAGAAGGCGAAUCCAGACCAGGCCUCAAGAGGACCUUCUGCACCUCCCAAGUCCCUUCAGUAGACCACUCAGGACACCUGACCUGACCAGCUGCCUUUCCAAGAUUCCUGUUUAUGGAUGCUACAACAGGAAAGCCAGUGUCACAUGCAAUACACACACCUGCCGUGAGGGUGGUCACUGAUGCUUCUGAGAGGAAGAAACGCCCAGGAGAUGAGCGAAAGUGAACUACAGAUCCACGGGAGCAUCCAGAAGUCCUCGUAGCAUGGUCAAGAAUGAAUGAAUGUGUGAAACACAAAGGGCUGAUAAACAUUAAAUUAUUUUGAAC
rnacentral:lncRNA from 1 species